UAGCAGAGGUCCCGAGCGUUGUUUCGGAGUUCAAUUGGGCGUAAAGGGUGGCGUAGGCGGCGGGGCAAGUCUGAUGUCGAAAUCCCGGGGCUCAACCCCGGAAACUGCAUUGGAUACUGCCUUGCUUGGAGUGACUGGAGAGGGAACUGGAAUUUGAACGGUGUAGCAGUGAAAUGACGUAGAGAUCGUAAGGAAGGCCAGUGGCGAAGGCGAGUUCCUGGACAGUGACUGACGCUGAGGCACGAAGGCCAGGGGAGCAAACGGG
rnacentral:rRNA from 1 species